rnacentral:lncRNA from 1 species
AUCAGAUAACGAUCAGAAUACCAAGAGAGAGAUAGGAUCAUGAGUUAGGAUCACUGACUUCAGGAAAUUGUGUCUGUCUUUGGGUUAAAGAGUACACUGACUAUGUCUGUUCCUGGGGCUAUUGGGAGGCAUCCUGCGUUGAGUACCAGUUCUAAGAUUCUCCCAAUACAGUACUACCCUCAGUCACUCUAGUAGGGCAUGGGCUCGUGAGAUCUGGAAGCUGAACUAGAGCCCAGGAGUUCAGUUGAGGCAGGAAGGGCCUUUGGUCGCCUUUGCAGACUUCCUGACCCAUUCUUAGUCUCUCGGGAGGAGGUGAACAUUUUCUUCAGCCUCCAGAAGUUGACAGUACCUUGCUCUAGGGUGGGCUGAGAUUCUGGGCUCAUGGGGUUCCCAUUGUCAACCUAAGGUAGAUUUAUGUGGUGUAGAAAGAGUUCAUGGCUGUCAUCCACCCACAGAGCACUGUGGACAAGCUUCAAAAGGAGAAGAUGCCCCGGAAAGGUGGGCGAUGGUGGUUUUCCUGGAGACGCAGGGACUUCCCAGCUGAGGAGCGCAGUGCCCAGAGGGAGAAAGCAGCAACCAGGAAACAGCAGGGAGAGAAGACAGAGGUCCUAAGCAGUGAUGACGAUGUCCCAGAUAGCCCUGUGAUCCUCGAAGUGCCCCCACUGCCAUCCUCCACUCCGGGCUAUGUCCCUACCUACAAGAAGUCUCUUCGUCUCUCUUCCAAUCAGAUCCGGUGUCUAAACCUGAAUGAAGGAGCUAACGAUGUGG